CCACUGCAGAGACUGCACUGCGGUCCCUCUUCCAGCCCGAGGCCCAUGGGGGGCUCCUCGGGGGACAGUCUCAAUUUCGUGCCGUUAUUUAAAGAAUUCUCUCCACGUUUUUGUAUCAGGAGGCACCAUCGGCACUUCCUUCUCCCCCACCCCUCAAUGCCAAGAAGGUGUGGACCAGCCUGCCUUUCCUUACUGGUGCCCCCUCCUCCCCAGCCAAGGCACCUGGACCUGGCGAGGAUGCUGCCAGCUGAGCGGACUGAUUAACCAUAAGAGUUUGUACAUAGUGUAUAUUGCUCUAACCAGCCGCACACCUCGUCUUGCUCUGGCUUUUGCCUCCUUAAUGCCAACCUGCUGCAGUGGACCCUCCCUGCUCCUCUCCUGUCCCAUCUUAAUCGCCAGCAGCUUCCUGAGGAGAGAGCAUCGUAUUCUAGCUGCAUCUCUGGCCAACCUGGGCUGGUGAAGUGGGCUCUGUUGCUCAUUCUCUUCUAUAGGCUGUUGACUUCUAUCCCCAGCACACAGGGUCUUGGCCUUUGCAGGGCCUCUGCAGGCUGUCUUCCUUUCCCAUUCUCGGGAGCUGGGGAACCCAGCCUCAAGAUAGGCCCCCAGCCCUGUGGUUGCACAGAAGUGUCAGCCCUGCCCUCUGGCUGGGGUUGCAACAGAUUUCCUGUCCUGCCUUCUAGAUGCCUCUGAGCUGCAAACCCAGGGUAGCCGUGGCUUCUAAUUUAUACCAACAUGUUUCAGUUCCAACAGAAAGGUAGGGGUCUGUUUGUGCAGGGAUGGGACUUACAGGGGGGUAUGAGAGCAUUAUUUUAACAGAUAAAGAAAAUGAAGCCAAAUUAAAUGAAUUAAGUUCCUCACAGUUAUUUUCUUUCCCUGGGGUUUGAUUGGCACAGCAGUAAAAGUUGUGGCCACCCCACUUUGGGUCCAGUGUUUUUAGAAAAUGAAAGGCUUCCUGUUAUGGUGGAGCUGGGCUCUUGGCUGUUUCUUGGUGGGAAUGAAGAAAGGGCUUCCCACUGGAGUUUCAAGGGUCUAUGAUGCAACAGUAGGCAUCUUUGGACCUGGGAUGUGGGUACCAGGGGCUGCUGGGCUGUGGGGACGACUACCUGCACUGGGAUGGCAAGCAGCCUUGGACCACUGACAGAAGCAUUGUAGUGCAAAGAUGACAGGAGGAUUUCUUAGCAGAGUGGAGAGGAAUGGCUGGAGGCCUGGGGGAAGGCAGUUUUGACCUAUUUCAGCCCCCUGGAGGAGAAACCAGGGUCUUCUGCACUUGAUUACUGCUCCCCAAGCCUGGACACUUAAUUCCCCUUUCCCCUGAAAGGAUCAAGUAACCUGGGAAGAAUUUAUUUCAAUACCAUAAUGUUUUAUCAGAUUUCCUUUCCUAGGCGAUUUCUAGGCAAAGCCCUGAUUGGACAAUCACAUCAUACAUCACACUGCAGAUUUUCCGUGUUAACACUGUGGGUGGAUUUUUAAUCAGUAAAAACUGGGAGUUUCUUCUGACCUGGCUCUCCACUUGACCAAACUGCCAAAGCUGGUGGAUCUGCGUUGGCAGGUCUUCACUUUGGAGCCACAGGAUGGACCUGGGAGCUUGGUGGGCUUGGGAAGUGGGGGGCUGUGGCAUGGGAGGGGGUGGGACAGGGCUGGGGAAGCCAGGAGCAGAAGCAGGGGCUUCGUCCUUAGGACUGUCCUGGUUUGAUGGUGGGCCUUGUGGGGAGGUUUAGUGCUGGGGGCUCCUAUGCUGGUGAGUGGGGGGCACAAUUGCCUCUGAGCAUUCAGGUGAAGCCUGUGAGGGCAUGCUUGCAAAUUCAAGCAAUAAGUGGGGUGUCCUGGAACAUCCAGCCCAGGCUAGAAGCCCUCAAGGUUUCUGCCAGCUGGGCAUGCAGCCCCAGGUGCUGGGGUGACUUUGGCAAUGAUGGUGUGCCUGUCCCACCGAGUGUUACACGCAUGAAUGGGGGGUUGUGGGGUGGGGGUGGGGGACUCGGGGCUGAACCGAUGUCCUAGUGAACCUGAUGUGAAAUUCCUGUCAAAACUUUUCAAUGGUUUGCUAGGGUUAUUUCUGUAUUGAAAGUUUCUAAUUAUGCUUUUUAAAAAAAAAAUACUAAAAAUAAAGGUUCAAGCUGCCAAA